rnacentral:rRNA from 1 species
GACGAACGCUGGCGGCGUGCUUAACACAUGCAAGUCGAACGGAAAGGCCCUGCUUUUGUGGGGUGCUCGAGUGGCGAACGGGUGAGUAACACGUGAGUAACCUGCCCUUGACUUUGGGAUAACUUCAGGAAACUGGGGCUAAUACCGGAUAGGAGCUCCUGCCGCAUGGUGGGGGUUGGAAAGUUUCGGCGGUUGGGGAUGGACUCGCGGCUUAUCAGCUUGUUGGUGGGGUAGUGGCUUACCAAGGCUUUGACGGGUAGCCGGCCUGAGAGGGUGACCGGCCACAUUGGGACUGAGAUACGGCCCAGACUCCUACGGGAGGCAGCAGUGGGGAAUAUUGCACAAUGGGCGGAAGCCUGAUGCAGCAACGCCGCGUGCGGGAUGACGGCCUUCGGGUUGUAAACCGCUUUGGCCUGUGACGAAGCGUGAGUGACGGUAAUGGGUAAAGAAGCACCGGCUAACUACGUG